rnacentral:misc_RNA from 1 species
GAAAUGCGAUAAGUAAUGUGAAUUGCAGAAUUCAGUGAAUCAUCGAAUCUUUGAACGCACAUUGCGCCCGCCAGUAUUCUGGCGGGCAUGCCUGUUCGAGCGUCAUUUCAACCAUCAAGCCCCGGCGCUUGUGUUGGGGACCCGCGGCUGCCGCGGGCCCUUAAAGACAGUGGCGGUCCUCGCUGCAGCACCGAGCGUAGUAGCUAUACACCUCGCCCUGGGAGCUGCGCGUGUGACCACGCCGUAAAACCCCCCACCUCUCACAAGGUUGACCUCGGAUCAGGUAGGAAUACCCGCUGAACUUAAGC